GAUGAACGCUGGCGGCGUGCCUAAUACAUGCAAGUCGAGCGAACAGACGAGGAGCUUGCUCCUCUGACGUUAGCGGCGGACGGGUGAGUAACACGUGGAUAACCUACCUAUAAGACUGGGAUAACUUCGGGAAACCGGAGCUAAUACCGGAUAAUAUAUUGAACCGCAUGGUUCAAUAGUGAAAGACGGUUUUGCUGUCACUUUUAGAUGGAUCCGCGCCGCAUUAGCUAGUUGGUAAGGUAACGGCUUACCAAGGCAACGAUGCGUAGCCGACCUGAGAGGGGGAUCCGUCACACUGGAACUGAGACACGGUCCAGACUCCUACGGGAGGCAGCAGUAGGGAAUCUUCCGCAAUGGGCGAAAGCUUGACGGAGCAACGCCGCGUGAGUGAUGAAGGUCUUCGGAUCGUAAAACUCUGUUAUUAGGGAAGAACAAAUGUGUAAGUAACUAUGCACGUCUUGACGGUACCUAAUCAGAAAGCCACGGCUAACUACGUG
rnacentral:rRNA from 1 species